rnacentral:misc_RNA from 1 species
GCAUUUUCGAGCCAAAAGUGCGAAGCGGGUUUGCGUAGGAUAAUGCGGAAAAACAAAUAGUUAGAGCAGUUCCAGUAAUUCUGUUUUAAUCGGAGCCGCUCUAAAGGAGUAAAUAAUGAAUCGAUUUUUGAAGAUCACUAUUCUGGCAGCGGCA